rnacentral:rRNA from 1 species
AAUGAACGCUGGCGGCAUGCCUAACACAUGCAAGUCGAGCGACCACACCGGGAGCUUGCUCCCCUGAGGUUGGCGGGGGACGGAUGGGUAACACGUGGAUAGCAUACCUCUAUGACUGGGGGAAUAACGGGGGAACAGUGCUAAUACUGGAUAAUAUAUCGUACCGGAUGGAUCACGAGUUAAAGACGGUUUUGGCGUGUGUAAUAGCCGAAUUCGCGUCGGAUUAGCUAGUUGGUAAGGUAACAGCUUACCAACGCUACGAUGCGUAGCCGAUCUGAGAGGGUGAUCGGCCACACUGGAACUGAGACACGGUCCAGACUCCUACGGGAGGCAGCAGUAGGGAAUCUUCCGCAAUGGGCGAAAGCCUGACCGAGCAACACCGCGUGAGUGAUGAAGGACUUCGGAUCGUAAAGCUCUGUUGUUAGGAAAGAACAAAAGUGUAUUUAACUAUGCACGUCUUGACGGUACCUAAAGAAAAAGCCACGGCUAACUACGUG